UAGUUGGUGGGGUAAAGGCCUACCAAGGCGACGAUCAGUAGCGGGUCUGAGAGGAUGAUCCGCCACACUGGGACUGAGACACGGCCCAGACUCCUACGGGAGGCAGCAGUGGGGAAUUUUGGACAAUGGGGGGAACCCUGAUCCAGCCAUGCCGCGUGUCUGAAGAAGGCCUUCGGGUUGUAAAGGACUUUUGUACGGGAAGAAAGGCUUUGGGCUAAUACCCUGAAGUUAUGACGGUACCGUAAGAAUAAGCACCGGCUAACUACGUGCCAGCAGCCGCGGUAAUACGUAGGGUGCGAGCGUUAAUCGGAAUUACUGGGCGUAAAGCGAGCGCAGACGGUUACUUAAGCAGGAUGUGAAAUCCCCGGGCUUAACCUGGGAACGGCGUUCUGAACUGGGUAACUAGAGUAUGUCAGAGGGGGGUAGAAUUCCACGUGUAGCAGUGAAAUGCGUAGAGAUGUGGAGGAAUACCGAUGGCGAAGGCAGCCCCCUGGGAUAAUACUGACGUUCAUGCUCGAAAGCGUGGGUAGCAAACAGGAUUAGAUACCCUGGUAGUCCACGCCCUAAACGAUGUCAAUUAGCUGUUGGGGUACUUGAU
rnacentral:rRNA from 1 species